rnacentral:rRNA from 1 species
CCUACGGGGGGCAGCAGUGGGGAAUAUUGCACAAUGGGCGCAAGCCUGAUGCAGCCAUGCCGCGUGUGUGAAGAAGGCCUUCGGGUUGUAAAGCACUUUCAGCGAGGAGGAAGGUGGUGAACUUAAUACGUUCAUCAAUUGACGCUACUCGCAGAAGAAGCACCGGCUAACUCCGUGCCAGCAGCCGCGGUAAUACGGAGGGUGCAAGCGUUAAUCGGAAUUACUGGGCGUAAAGCGCACGCAGGCGGUUUGUUAAGUCAGAUGUGAAAUCCCCGGGCUCAACCUGGGAACUGCAUUUGAAACUGGCAAGCUAGAGUCUCGUAGAGGGGGGUAGAAUUCCAGGUGUAGCGGUGAAAUGCGUAGAGAUCUGGAGGAAUACCGGUGGCGAAGGCGGCCCCCUGGACGAAGACUGACGCUCAGGUGCGAAAGCGUGGGGAGCAAACAGGAUUAGAUACCCGGGUAGUC